GACGAACGCUGGCGGCGUGCUUAACACAUGCAAGUCGAGCGGUAAGGCCCUUUCGGGGGUACACGAGCGGCGAACGGGUGAGUAACACGUGGGUGACCUGCCCUUAGCUCUGGGAUAAGCCCUGGGAAACUGGGUCUAAUACCGGAUAUGACUCCAUAACGCAUGUUGUGGGGUGGAAAGCCUUGUGCGGCUAGGAAUGGGCCCGCGGCCUAUCAGCUUGUUGGUGGGGUGAUGGCCUACCAAGGCGACGACGGGUAGCCGGCCUGAGAGGGCGACCGGCCACACUGGGACUGAGACACGGCCCAGACUCCUACGGGAGGCAGCAGUGGGGAAUCUUGCGCAAUGGGCGAAAGCCUGACGCAGCGACGCCGCGUGAGGGAUGACGGCCUCGGUUGUAAC
rnacentral:rRNA from 1 species